CCUNACNCCCNCCCGCGUGCAGGAUGACNGGCCCUAUGGGUUGUAAACUGCUUUUGUUUGCCAGAAUGGUUACUACGCGUAGUAAUUUGACGGUAGCAAAUGAAUAAGGACCGGCUAACUCCGUGCCAGCAGCCGCGGUAAUACGGAGGGUCCAAGCGUUAUCCGGAUUCAUUGGGUUUAAAGGGCGCGCAGGCGGAACAUUAAGUCAGUGGUGAAAUCUUGCCGCUUAACGGUAAAAUUGCCAUUGAUACUGACGUUCUUGAAUAUGGUUGAGGUAGGCGGAAUGUGUUGUGUAGCGGUGAAAUGCAUAGAUAUGACACAGAACGCCGAUUGCGAAGGCAGCUUACUAAGCCAUAAUUGACGCUGAGGCACGAAAGCGUGGGUAGCGAACAGGAUUAGAUACCCUGGUAGUCCACGCCGUAAACGAUGUUCACUCGCUGUUUGCGAUACACAGUAAGCGGCUGAGCGAAAGCAUUAAGUGAACCACCUGGGGAGACGUGGCAGG
rnacentral:rRNA from 1 species